rnacentral:rRNA from 1 species
AGAGUUUGAUCAUGGCUCAGGAUAAACGCUGGCGGCGUGCCUAACACAUGCAAGUCGAACGCUCUGAGCAAUCAGAGAGUGGCGGACGGGUGAGGAACGCGUGGGAAUCUACCUUUGGGUGAGGAAUACCGGCGAGAAAUCGCCGACAAAACCGCAUAGGCUCGCAAGAGCAAAGUCGUAAGACGCCCGAAGAGGAGCCU